AUUGAACGCUAGCGGGAUGCCUUACACAUGCAAGUCGAACGGCAGCAUAAGAGAGCUUGCUCUCUUGAUGGCGAGUGGCGAACGGGUGAGUAAUGUAUCGGAACGUGCCCAGUAGCGGGGGAUAACUACGCGAAAGCGUAGCUAAUACCGCAUAAGCCCACGACCCGGCAUCGGGUUGAGGAAAAAGGAGCAAUCCGCUUUGAGAUGGCCUCGCGUCCGAUUAGCUAGUUGGUGAGGUAACGGCCCACCAAGGCAACGAUCGGUAGCCGGACUGAGAGGUUGGCCGGCCACAUUGGGACUGAGACACGGCCCAG
rnacentral:rRNA from 1 species